GCCAAUCAGGACCGAUGCUCACAGUGACAACACUCACGCUGAGGAUAUUGUGGGUUAGAAGAGGAGCAUGGGUAAAAUAGAGGAGAGCAGGAGAAGUAAGAGAUGAGAUGAGAGGAGAGGGGAGAGGAGGAGGAGGAGGAGGAAGAGGAGAGGAGGAGGAGGAGGAGGAGGAGAGGAAUGAGAGGAGUACAAGGAAGCGGAAAACGGACGCACGUCACGAGCUGAUGGUGACAAACCGGUGCAAUCUCACAUUAACACCUCAACAAUCAAAGAUCUUUGAGUUGAUCAAAUUAUUGUGCACUCUAGCCUACAGUUUGUUUAGAGGAUUUACAGUUUGUUUAGAGGUUUACAGUCUGUUUAGAGGUUUACAGUUUAUUUAGAGGUUUACAGUUUGUUUAGAGGUUUACAGUUUGUUUAGAGGAUUACAGUUUGUUUAGAGGAUUUACAGUUUGUUUAGAGGAUAACAGUUUUAGAGGAUUUACAGUUUGUUUAGAGGAUUACAGUUUGUUUAGAGGAUUACAGUUUGUUUAGAGGAUUUACAGUUUGUUUAGAGGAUUACAGUUUGUUUAGAGGAUUUACAGUUUGUUUAGAGGUUUACAGUUUGUUUACAGUUUGUUUAGAGGAUUACAGUUUGUUUAGAGGUUUACAGUUUGUUUAGAGGUUUACAGUUUGUUUACAGUUUGUUUAGAGGUUUACAGUUUGUUUACAGUUUGUUUAGAGGAUUUACAGUUUGUUUAGAGGAUUUACAGUUUGUUUAGAGGUUUACAGUCUGUUUAGAGGUUUACAGUUUGUUUAGAGGAUUUACAGUUUGUUUACAGUUUGUUUAGAGGUUUACAGUCUGUUUAGAGGGUUUACAGUUUGUUUACAGUUUGUUUCGAGGUUUACAGUCUGUUUAGAGGGUUUACAGUUUGUUUAGAGGGUUACAGUUUGUUUAGAGGUUUACAGUUUGACAGCGCCACUUUUUCUACAGACAAACAUUAGUCACAGGAUUGCAAAGGGAAGGUCAGAUGCAGAUAAGGGGUCUAUGAGAGGGGGUCUAUGAGAGGGGGUCUAUGAGAGGGGGUCUAUGAGAGGGAGCGGGGGGCAGGACAUGGGUGGGGCUGAUAGAGCACACAGAAGUAAGCAGCCAAAGCAAGCAGCCAAUCAUUACUCUGGGCCACAGGAAACGGAGCGGACAGGGUUGUCGUGACAACGGGAGGUCAUACCGUAUCCAGUACAUGGCCGGGUGCUGGUAGAAGUCCAACGACCCAGAGCGCUGCAAACAGAAGCUGUGCUCCAACUGGACAACAGGACACAGAAACCAGG
rnacentral:lncRNA from 1 species